GACACUGUGGCCGAGCGGUUAAGGCGUUUGAUUAGAACGAUUUAUUUAUAACCUCAUACUCAUCAAAUUCUUUCGGGAGCGCAAGUUCGAAUCUUGCCGGUGUCG